rnacentral:rRNA from 1 species
GUAGGGUGCAAGCGUUAAUCGGAAUUACUGGGCGUAAAGCGUGCGCAGGCGGUUUUUGUAAGUCUGAUGUGAAAUCCCCGGGCUCAACCUGGGAACUGCAUUGGAGACUGCAAGGCUAGAGUGUGUCAGAGGGGGGUAGAAUUCCACGUGUAGCAGUGAAAUGCGUAGAGAUGUGGAGGAAUACCGAUGGGAAGGCAGCCCCCUGGGAUAACACUGACGCUCAUGCACGAAAGCGUGGGGAGCAAACAGGAUUAGAUACCCUGGUAGUCCACGCCCUAAACGAUGUCUACUAGUUGUCGGGACUUAAUUGUCUUGGUAACGCAGCUAACGCGUGAAGUAGACCGCCUGGGGAGUACGGUCGCAAGAUUAAAACUCAAAGGAAUUGACGGGGACCCGCACAAGCGGUGGAUGAUGUGGAUUAAUUCGAUGCAACGCGAAAAACCUUACCUACCCUUGACAUGGCAGGAAUCCCGAAGAGAUUUGGGAGUGCUCGCAAGAGAACCUGCACACAGGUGCUGCAUGGCUGUCUUCAGCUC